rnacentral:tRNA from 1 species
ACGCGGGUGGCGGAACUGGCAGACGCGCCAGACUUAGGAUCUGGUGCCGCAAGGCGUGGGAGUUCGAGUCUCCCCCCGCGUA